rnacentral:rRNA from 1 species
ACUACGGGAGGCAGCAGUGAGGAAUAUUGGUCAAUGGGCGGAAGCCUGAACCAGCCAAGUAGCGUGCAGGAUGACGGCCCUACGGGUUGUAAACUGCUUUUAUACGGGAAUAACGCGCCUUACGUGUAGGGCUGUGCAUGUACCGUAUGAAUAAGGACCGGCUAAUUCCGUGCCAGCAGCCGCGGUAAUACGGAAGGUCCGGGCGUUAUCCGGAUUUAUUGGGUUUAAAGGGAGCGUAGGCCGCAUGUCAAGCGUGCUGUGAAAUGUCCGGGCUCAACCCGGGCCUUGCAGCGGGAAGUGGCGUGCUUGAGUCCGCGGAAAGCAGGCGGAAUUCGUGGUGUAGAGGUGAAAUGCUUAGAUAUGACGAAGAACCCCGAUUGCGAAGGCAGCUUGCUGCAGCGGAACUGACGCUGAUGCUCGAAAGCGCGGGUAUCGAACAGGAGUAGAUACCCGGGUAGUC